AUUCAAGUAGCUUAUUUAUGAGAGCGUGACAUUGAAGAUGUUAAAGAGGUUGUUAAAUCCUUGAAUA
rnacentral:tRNA from 1 species